rnacentral:tRNA from 1 species
GUUGUAGCUCAGUGGUAGAGUGCUUGCCUCACAUGCAUGAGGCACUGGUUUUAAACCUCAGCAAAACA